UCCAGAGUCACAUACUCCCAUCAACUGAGCCUGCCAGAAACCACAACAAAGGGUCUCAGCCAAGUUUCCCCUUCCCCACCUGCCUUCUGGUGCUUCCCAGUGUGCCCCUGUAUGGCACGUCCCCUCCUCUUGGGAACUGAUGAAAAAGUUCUGGAGAUGGAUGGUGUUGAUGGCCACACAACAACGUGGAUGUACUGAAUGCCACCGAAGUUCAACUUGUUGUUGACUGGUGGUUUUCAUCUUUCACAAGUGGCCUGCUGUCAGUGCUCCUAGAACAACCAGAAACACAAGUGCUUCCUGGUCCCCCUGGCACCUCAAACGUCAUUGCCCUGUUUUUGAGAAGUCGCUAGUCUUGGACGUCAGGUGUCUCAGUCAGAUUUCCUAGUGACAAGAAAUAGAAACCAAAUCCAGCUCACGAUGUGGAAAAGUUUUGUUGUGUUUGUUUUUGGAAACGUAUCAGGCAGCCCACAGAGUCGUCGCAAAGGCUGGGAAGGCAGUGCAGGGAUUCACGAUGAGGAGAUAAGCAAAACGCAAGGGCAAACAGCAGCAGAGAACCA